GGGCCGCUAGCUCAAUUGGUAGAGCAUCUCCCUCUUAAGGAGACGGUUACAGGUUCGAUUCCUGUGCGGCUCACCA
rnacentral:tRNA from 1 species